GGGACAUGUGAAAUGUGGGAUUUUUAUUGUUGAUUUUGGGGGAAUCGACGAUGGAAUCAAAUCGAUGGGAGGAUUGAGAGGUUUUCGUCUUGAUGGAUGAUGGUGCGUGAUAUGAAUUCAUUAUUUUUGUCAUUGUUCAUUGAUUAUUUAUGAUAUAUUUUGACCAUAUGACAGAGACUCUCCUGUAGUUGCAUCUGGUUUUGCUGGGGUUGGGGUGACUCCAGGAGUCGAUCUGAUUAAUCUCGCAGUCGAGUUUUUGGGGAAUAUCUUCGAAUCUAAGGGAGAUGGCGGAAUUUAUGUAAUGACCUUAAUUGUAGAACUCAAUUAACUCCACAAAAAAGGUCCUGAUGAAAAUACCGCUAUCUCCUGUCGAUUCCGAGUUAUUCGCGAAAAACUGAUCGAUAUUAUUGUAGUUGUCUGACGAGUGACGUGGGUUUUCCACUGGAAUUUUGCAUUCACGUGACGUAAACCGUUUUACCCCUUUCCUAAUAACCUGAUCAAUCCAUCAUCCAUCUGACCUUCAAUCUCAAUCACGUACCACCGAUAAUGCCACGACAUCGUCGUGAUUCUCACCCUCAAAAUAUAGGAGACGAGGCUCGCCGAUGGGAGGGAAGAAAUAAUCGAAUAAGGGUUGGGGAACCAACGCCGGAUAAUACUUAUAAUUCCCGGCCAAGGUGAGGAUAAAAGGUCUCGCCCCCGGCACAACCAAGUGAGAGAGGCCUCCCGAUGAAAUAAACCAACUCUCCUCCCUCACCCUCUUUCACCCCCGAAUGAAAAUAGCGACAAAAGGACGGGGAAAAAAAAAAGUAAAAAGGGAGAAUACGAAGAAUCGGCAAAGUUUGAGACUCAAACUCAUCCGGAGGCCGACGGAGAAAUAAAGGGGGAGGGAAUAGAGACGAAAAAGUAGAAUGAGGAGGUGAGGGGUGAAAGGGAUUUCACAUCGCCACCCUUUGGUUGCUAGGUAACCGCGUGCCUUGGACUCAUCCCCCCCUCAUUCCCCCGGAGAUGUCACUACCCAGAAAACGGGAACGACCUUUUGACAUUUCAAGGAUUCUCCUGCACCCUCUGCCCUCACCCUCUCGACCCUCUUCCCACAAUUUUUUUUUUAUCAUUCUCUUUUACGUGCCCUUCAGGUCCUUUCUGCAUCCACUUCAUUCUGAUGGUGGGCUCAUCCUUGUUUACCCCAAUGCCACUUUCAACCCUUCAAUUUAUUCCAUUUUUUUAUAAUAAAGGAUUUUUUUUCUUAUCAUUGGGGAGCAGAGUGAUACGAAUAGAAAUUUCCGAGGAAAAUUCCUGACUUCAUUACCGUAAUUUUGGCGGAAUAUUUUUCAUCGUGGAUUAUAAUAGAAAAUAAAUUUUCCGAUGAAAUAAAUAUUCAAAUUUGUACAUUUCAAUUUUCUUUUCUCACACGUCAAUUUUUCCUGACUCCAUUUUUUUUUAAUGACGACGAGUCGACGUGAAGUUGCACCGAGAAUACCUCCACUGUAAAUUCCCCUCGCAGAUUACAACCACGCGAGGGGGAUGCAAGGAAGAAUCUACGUAGGGUAUGAAAUCGCCGUGCAGUGGAUAAGAGGGGAUGAAAAUUCCCCUCGGGAGUCUAAGGGGAAUUGAGAGCGGUGAGGUGGGUACGAGGGUGGAGAAUCAAAGAAGGUGAGUGGAGAGAGAUAGCGAGUAACAUCGAGGGAAAAAGGGAUUGCUGAGAACUUGAGCCAAGGGGGUUGAUUAUGAAGAUUAAAGAUACCAACUCUCUCCGCUGAGUUCUCUCCACUCAACUCGCAACUCUCUGCUCUGAAAGGCUCUUCCUGGUUUUUUUUUUCAUCUCCUACGAGACCCUCUCAAACCGCCACCCCCUUUUUUCCACACCACCUGCGAAAUUAUUGACUGAACAUUUUGCGUUAUAUAUUGAGGUAUGCGAAGUGAACAAUCGUGCUGUAAUUAAAUUUAUUAUCAGAACGGAAUAAAUAUAUUUUCUACAGUUCAGUCGAUUAAUAAAAAAAUAUUAUGUUAUAAUAAUAAUUUUAUUUUCUUUAGUACAAAAAUCUCUCUCUGUACAUCGCAAUGACACCCUAAGGGCGCCAUUAAAUAACGAUUUAGAAUAUUAAUAUUAAAUGUUUUCUCUGCGAAAUUGUGAGGGAAUUUCGAGAUAUUCAUUAAAAAUAGUUAAAAAUUGUUUGUAAAAAACUUUUUAAAAAACAUCCCUCACAAUUGUAAACCUCCCCUUUCAACUAUUUUCUAUUUUUUAUUUGUUUCAUUAUAUUUUAACAUAACUUAUCACAUGGUACAUAGCUGCAUAAACCUGCAGGUUUAUGUAAGUUUAAAUAACAAUAAUAAAAAACUGUUGAAUAGUCGAAAGGGACUUCCCUCGAAAGUCCUGGCAGCGAUACAACUUCGAUGGCUCGUCAAGAGGGGGCGAAGGACUGAAACAACUUGCUUUGUCGAUAGGGGAAAGGCCGAUGGGCGGAAGGGGAUGGGGGGGUGUUGGAUGGGAGUGGAAAGUGCCCCGGCCGAUUGAGCAGGUGUUCUUUCAUUCUUCUUUCGGCUCGAACAAAGAACCCCGAACCCAAAGGGUGAUCUUUUUGUUUUUCCUCAGAAGGAACCAGACUUCAAUAACGCACUAACACGCGUUCACCAAAAUCCCAGAGAAUCGCAAAAUUAAGAAAAAUAAAAUGAUUUUGAAUGACCAACUCUCUGAUUAUUCGCAAUUUAAUUCUGAUAAAUGUCUUGUUGGAGACACCACCACUGCCACAAAUUUCGGGGAAUCUCCAUCUAGAGUCACCUCAGAUUGAGGAUUACCAGUAUCACAUUCCCCCGGAAUUUACAUGUCUCUGACCGGCGAUGAUGGUGACAAAUAUCUUCUGAUUAUCCCACCCAAUCAUGAUUUACUCACCCGAAAAACACGUUCGGAGAGAAUCGGAUAAUCUCGCCACUCGUUAAUUUGAUACCUGGCAAAAGAAGACGGGUCGUGAGUCCUCGUUGACAAAAAAAAUUCCAAAAUUUCCGACCGAAUUUCCUGCGAAUAUCAUGUGAAUGUCAGCGGAGGGGAAAUCAUGCCCAAAGGUAUAAUGGUAUUUUCGGUGGGGCCCUGAGACGGCUGAGACGACGAGCACCUUGCCCCGUCCUCUCGCCGGAAGCUGGACAGGAGAGAGCGGAGGGAGAUGUGGUCUGGCCGCAUUUACCGGCAGAUGGCCGGCAGAUGUCCAGCAUCGUUGCCCUGAUUGCAACUUCUCCAUCGAGAGGUAUCAUCAUGCAUCGGUCUCACAUUCAGCGGGGCCAAUAAUCUAUUGGUCAUUGAACCAAUCCCGUCCGGAGUUAAAUCACCCAUAUUACCCCGUCAUUAUUUAAUUACUCAAUUUUUACCUUAACUUCUCUAAAACUAUUCAAACCACAACCCAAAUGAAUUAUUCGAUACCUAUUUUUCUUUCCGCACGCCUCAUGUGCGCAAAAUUCCACUUUCCGCACGUCGUGUGGAAAAACUGAUUUUCCGCACGCCUCGAACUCUACAAUUUUUUACAUUUUCUUUCGUGUUAAUGGAGUAUAAAUUAUAAUUUCUCCAAUAUCAUUGUUACGAAUUAUUUCGAUGUCCUGAUUUGGACGGUUUCAUGGCAUCAUCACCGAGCCAUUACUGACGAUCAUCGAAUUGACGGAAAAACGGGACUGGCAAUAUUGACUCCUCCGAAUCCAUAAUGCGAAGGCCAACCCUGAUAAUGUAUUCGCCCAUCACCACUCACCACUGGCGACGUCGUGUCGCACACUGUGAAAUACCUAGACGUACGGCUGCUGUCGACAUCCAGCAAAUGAGCAUCACAUGCCAAGAGAAAAAAGAAAGGAGGCUGAAAAAAAAACGCUGCGUUACGCGCCUUUUUACACUGCCGCCUCCUGGGGUGAGGAUUAAGGUACUUCCACAGUAAAACCGAAGACCAAAUAAGUGAAGGUAUAUCUUUCUGGAAAAAUCUGGAUGUCUGGAAAAAUUAAUGCUGAACAUGACACUCUGCCCUUUCGGAAGAGUCUGGAUAAUGUUUUCCAGAUAGUGGCUCGCAUGUACGUUGUUCCCGGUGAUUAUAAAAAAAAUCAAUCAUUAGCGAGGGGCGCAAAUCAGGAGGGAAAAAAAUUCACCUCCAUUGUUUCAUCGCACAUGCUCACGCACAACGAAAUCCACAGCUUGAUGAUGAAAUGAAGGCAUUGCAGUCUCAUGUAUAAGUCUGUAAGCCGCGAAAGAGGCGUCACUGGACAAUGACGGGCUGGUGGUGUGCAACUGAAGAGCUUCGUGGAGUUUUUACGAGGUAUGCUUUAUGGAAGUUUGCCAGCUGUGACCACGAUAAACGAUCCCGCUCUUAUAGGUGGAAGUUUGGUGGAAGCUGUUAAAUGGGUCUUCGUACCGCAUGGAAACAUUGGAAUUGAGGAAGAAUUUCAUCCAAAAUUUGGUUUAAUGAAGACUCCGAAAGAGAUCACCCUUUUAUGACAUCAUUCUGAAGUCAUUGACGAAUGAUAACGGUCUAGAAUAUUGUGGAGAGGCGGAAUAAAUAGCCCAUGAAAAAAUAGACCAGGGAAAUGCCCCAGAUUUGGGUGAUUGCGUUAUUGUCGAAUAUGUGGACAUACAGCAGUGUCAGUAUGACAGGUGUAAACGUAACUGAAUUAUGCUGACCAAGUGAUGAAAUAUAAACAAUCAAUGUAUUAUUGAAAAGACUCCGAGGCACGUAAAGUCUCGGAGGGGCGCUUAUUGUACAAUACCGAAUGGUUCUAUUUCCUUUAAACUCGGGGUCACCCAGCGACCUUUCAACGCUUCCCCGCGCAUAUCCCAGAGGCUGUGGUCGGCGCAAAAGAAACAUCCGCUCGCUUAAAAUCUCUCGACCAGUACUACCAACAUUUCCAGUCUCCGGGGGAGGGGGUAAGUUGCAUAAUAGGUGAGAAAAAGUAGCGGACUGAGGUACAAGAAUUCCUCGUGCAUAAUCGAGCUUUCGCGUCACCACGGAUCGCUGGCCCUCCGGUAAAAGUCUGUAGGCGCGUUAUCUUCGAGAAUAGACAAAUGUUUUCUACUCCAGUCAUAGACAAGAGUUAUUAAAUCAGGGAACGAGGUCUUUGAAAAUAUCUGGCGAAGUAAAUAUUGAAGGAUUAAAAAUUUUCACUUUGUGGGGAAUAUUUUGACAUUAGCUCGGAAAAGCGACACAACAUGUGGACAACCCAAUAGACAAAAGGGCCUGGCCUUUCGGUCAGACCUCCCACCCUGGACGAAGCAAGGGGUAGGGACACUCUCGAACGGUCUCUCGAGUAAACCACAUCGGAUUAUCAACUCAGCUAUAAUUAUAUCAAGUCUUUCACUAAAACGCAUAUGUUAAAAACCGAAUAAA